CUCGGUCAGUUCGGUGUGUUCAUGGUGAACAGAAUUAUGGGAUCGUCCUCUCUGUGAAGGAUGUGUCAGGAGCAGAAAAAAAAACAGAAGCAGAAAACCAGUUCGAAGUCAAAACAGAAGUAGAAAACCAGUCCGGAGUCAAAACAGUAACGGAAAAAACAGUCUAGAGUCAAAACAGAAGCAGAAAACCAGUCCGGAGUCAAAACAGCAGCAGAAAACCAGUCCGGAGUCAAAACAGUAACAGAAAACCAGUCCGGAGUCAAAACAGUAACAGAAAACCAGUCCGGAGUCAAAACAGCAGCAGAAAACCAGUCCAGAGUCAAAACAGCAGCAGAAAACCAGUCCAGAGUCAAAACAGUAACAGAAAACCAGUCCAGAGUCAAAACAGUAACAGAAAACCAUCUAGAGUCAAAACAGUAGUAGAAAACCAGUCCAGAGUCAAAACAGCAGCAGAAAACCAGUCCAGAGUCAAAACAGUAACAGAAAACCAGUCCAGAGUCAAAACAGUAACAGAAAACCAGUCCAGAGUCAAAACAGUAACGGAAAAAACAGUCCAGAGUCAAAACAGUAGUAGAAAACCAGUCCAGAGUCAAAACAGCAGCAGAAAACCAGUCCAGAGUCAAAACAGAAGCAGAAAACCAGUCCAGAGUCAAAACAGCAGCAGAAAACCAGUCCAGAGUCAAAACAGCAGCAGAAAACAGUCCAGAGUCAAAACAGAAGUGUGUUCCUGUCCAAAUGGCUCUGGAUCUCAGCAUAUAGGUGAUGUCCACAAAUAAACCUUUUGGAAUGGAUCAUAAUCAUCAAACUGUUUCUUUCAUGUUUACGAAUCUAGUAUCCCCCUUCAGCAAGUGAUCACAUGAAAACAGUGCUGGAUUACAUGCACAAAGGCACACGUGCAAAAAAAAAAAAAAAAAACUCUAGCGUAUUACAGUCUGGCCUCUAAAUACUGAACAACAUUCGACCACAACUACAUGGUAUUAACCACCAUAUUCAUUACAUCCUAAUUAUUAACAUCCAUGACUGGUGCAGAUUCAGGGAACAGCUGAACCUUUUAUCAUAAGUGGAGGUUAUUAUAACAGUAAAGGGGUGACUAUAUCAGCAGGGCUGUGAUUUAGUGAUGUGAAAUCACAGUGUAGCUACCAAGACUGUAAGUGUGAGCUUGCGUUUAGGGUGUUUUCAGACCUGCAGACCCGUGCUUUGUUCCUAAACAGGGAUUCUUUUACAUUCAGUACGUUUACAUGGACAACAAUAAUCCGAUAUUACACCCGAUUAAGACAGUAUUCUGAUUAAGAAACUAUCAUAUAAACAGCGAUUAUUGAUGACCUUAAUCCGACUAAUAUCAGAAUAUUGUUGUCCAUGUAAACGUACUGAAUGCUGUAUUUUCUCCUUCACGUGACAACAUUUCAAAGUGUACCCAAGUGAAGGUCAGGUGUCCACAGACAUUUGGCAUGAACCUGACGCAUACCAAACAGCUGAAAAUGGGUGGUCUGCGUUGAAAAUACACUUUUUUUUAAACAGUGGUCCGGUCCAAAAUGACAUGAACACACCUAAAGUGCUUGUCCUCACAACAAAGCUAGUUUUUCAACAUUUAUCUUUUCAGCUCCAGAG
ensembl:lncRNA